rnacentral:snoRNA from 1 species
ACCCUUCCGUUUCAUUUCCCAUCAGAUCUAAACAUUUGUCUGAGAAAUUACAAAUGAAGAAAAAGUUACAUAGAAACAGAUUUCAGUGUUUUUGUAACAUAUAGGCUAGUUUCCCACAAGU